rnacentral:lncRNA from 1 species
GAUAAGCUAGAGAAUUGUUCCAUCACAGGUGCUGCCUUAGCUAAAGCAUCUGCCAUGGCAUUUUUGUUUGUCUGCAUAGAGGUGAUAUGGGCCCGUAGUUCCGAAUAAUCUCAUAGCAGACGAUGAAGAUCGAGAGAGGGAGAGAGAUAGAGUUUUUUUUUCGAAAUGGUGGAGAGAGAUAGAGUUGACAUACCCUGAUCAAAUCCCCACCAGAUGGGCAAUACAACUUGACUAAGCAGAAUUUAGAACUAGAUGCCAAGCUAGUCGCAGCGCCAUUGUGGUGCUUACUUGACUCUCAAUCACAGUGCAAAGCAUUAGUUAACCAUUCCCUUAAAAUUUGAAGUUGUAACAAUGAAAUUACAUGUGUAUAUAUACUCGAUCGGUGACGGUGUGACAAUUCACAUGGGAUGCAAGUAAGCAAUAUGGUACAUAUUACACACAGAUAACUAGCAGCAACAUGCAUGCAUGCAACUUUGACACACGAAGAUAGUACAUGCAUAUAUAAGCCCAUGAACACAUCUCACAAGUACUUGGUAGGGAAUACUGGUCCGGCAGUUAAUUAACGCAGGUGGAUUGGCAGUAGCUUAAGCAAGAGUUCAUGCAUCUCUGGCAAUCGGCGCACUGCAAGGUCGGAGUGGCGCAGGUCCUGCUGCAUCUCACGCUGCUACUGGAGCCAUCACAUGAAGAGUUGCAGUCUUGGGUGCACCUGCUGCACUGCAUCUGCGCCUCCGCCUGCCACGGGGAAGAAGACAGCAUGACUAGCACCAGCACGGCGGCGAUGGCAGCCACCUUGAGGGACGACGGGAAGGCCAUUCUAGCUAGCUAUGUGUUGGUUUCGUGGCGUAAAAGGAGCAAGCAAGGGGAAGAUCAAGGAUAUCUUGAAUCUAUGCCUGUGUGGAGGCCAUAUAAAUACAUACAUGUAGAGGUUGCAGCUGAGGCCACUCUACAUGCGAGGUAGACAUGUAGAGGAACGCACCAUGCGAGGUAGACAUUGACUUCACAUGGGUGAUGUAGUUAACUUGGUC